rnacentral:rRNA from 1 species
AUGGCUGCUAGCCCAGACUGUCUUGCUGACGACAGCAACUGGGAGGAGGUACGGUUUAUCAACAGCUACAGUGUGUUCAUGGGCUAUCUGUCCAUGGCCAUCAAGGGCUUGGGUUUCUUGGUUCUUACUUGGACCACCGUUGUACUUCUCGGUGGCUUCGUCUCCAUGCUGGAUAACAAGGACUUUUGGUGCCUGACCUUCAUCACCCUUGUACAGACAGCUGGGAUUUUUGAUGUUAAUCUAAAUGAAAAAUUAGGCUAUAUGAAGAAUGCAUUCUCAGGGUUCAUCAUGGCAAUUUUCUGGGGCGUGGUAGGCGAAGAGCCAAGCUGGGAAACAAUAUUUGCUUUUCUUUGUCGCAGUUUGUUGGCAUGCAUUUUAAUGUUGGUUCAAGUAGUGGUGUUGGCCAUGAUAUUGGGCCCUCUCGCAAUUAUAUAUGUGCUUGGGAUAUUCAUGUCCGGAGUGAUCUCGUUGUGGCGUCUGGUAGAGCAUGAUUAUGGGGGCAACUCGGAUGGAGAAACAUCAAACCUAGCGCCAGCGAUGAACACCUUGUACUACCUUGCUCUGCUCCAAGGUGUGCUCUUCUGCUACAGGUUCAUGUUGGGUCGUGUGGGGAAGAGAUUGUCCUGGGUUGCGGCCACUGGAGAGGAAGUUCAAGCAGUUCUUUACAACUACUUGCACGAAACAAGGAGUGGAUGUGAGAAGGACCCGGCAUUUGCAAAAGGAAGGAACCUCACCACAUAUGCCGUAGACAAAAUUAGUUCUAAUUCACCGGUUGACUGCAUUUCCGGUGUGAAGAUCUUGUAUGCAGCCAUAAGUGUAGUGGACAGCACAUGUAACCCACGCAAAAUAACUGGGCAACGCAUGCUGAUGGAGCAUCUGUUCUUGUGUGCAUCAUCAUCUCGGUGCGCACUACAGAAACUGCUAGAGACAUUGGGUUCAAGAUAUGACACAGAGAGGAGACACCAAGCGGCGACAAUAGUGGACCGAAUUGCACUCUUCAUUAAUUUGGAGCAAUUUCCUUGUGGUAUUCAACACAUAUCCUCCCUGAUCGGGACAUUUAAACAAUAUAAUUCACCAGCCGGCGAACUUGGGAAGGACUACCAGAAGUUGUUGCUACAAGGCUUGUCUAUCCUCCAGAAUCUGGCUACUGACGAAAACAACUGCAGAGUCAUGAGCGACACUCGAGAUCUGGUCUCCAAAAUCAUGGCGCCUGUAACUUCCGACCUACUUGACCACACCGGUGAUGAUCAUGGUACGUGGUACAAAGUAGUAAGUGAAUCAAUGGAAUUGAUGAACCAAUUAACUCUUGCUCAAGGAGAAACGGGCACCAAAUUACGUCGUGAAAUCUCAAACUGCGCAGGAGCAAUAGGCACUCUCUGGAGGAUUAUUAGCUGUAAAAGGUGUAAAGAAUGGUUGCAGGGAAGAGCCAUUUGGAUUCUCACACGACUGUACAUUGAUAAUAUUGGAAUCAGCAGAUCAAGUGAUUCUGAGCUUCUCGAAAAGGAAAACAGUUGUGGCGGAGAAGAUUUUGUUAGGAUGCUAGUGAACAUCUUCACUCACCAUAACGAGUAUAGCAGCUUUGUCAGAGAAUGUGCAGGAGAAGCACUAUCGAAGAUAUGUUUCCUUGGCAGAAUUAGUGAUGCCACAAUUAUCAUACAAACAAGAGAUGAUGUUGUCGAUAGUCUCGCUCAAGUACUUUUACAUGAAGGAAAAAAGACACGCAGACAAGCAGCAGCAGCAGAAAUACUGAAGUAUCUAUGUACUCAUUACACUAAGGAUGAUGAAUACCUCGGCAAACUUAAGAAAGCAACCCUCAAGGUGAUAGGAAAAAUGCUUUGUCCCAGGGUCGAAACACACAAUGGAAGAGAUAUAGAAAGCCAAUGUGAUGACACACAAGAAAGCAAUGAACCGGAGAAGAAGGAGGACGAGGGAUUCCAGGUGGACGCACUCUCAAAAAUGUCACUGAACUUGCUAUUGUCACUGCUAUCCCUUUGUGGGACUGUCUACGACACCAAGUUGAUCAUUGAUUUGUCUACUUGGUUGGAUCCAUCUAGCUUUCUAAACAAGCUCGAGGAGAUACUAGUGGAAGAAAGCUACAGCGCCACUGGAAACCUAUCAUUGUACAAGGCUACUGCUAAGAUGGUCAUAUCAAUGCUCAAAUGCAAUGGUGGCGGGUUCCUCAGACGAGAGGACUUUGGGAGCUUGAUAGAUACGCUCUCUAGUGCUUCUGAGGACAUGCUAGAUCUUGACUACUCCAUGAUUUGUUCUUCCGCCAGUAGCUCCGAAUCCAGAUCGAAGCUUAAUAGGCGUACUCUCAUGUCACUCGUGAGAGAAGCGAAAGAACUGCAUGCCAUGGUACCAUCUACCUCUUCCAGUGGCUGA